rnacentral:rRNA from 1 species
AUGCUUCCUGCCCGGGUUGAAGAGCUAAAGAAAUCUGCUGCUAGAACCGGCGCUAUAAACGCCUUAAUCCGGGCAAAAGCGUGGGUGCCGGAUUUUGAUCCCGUUGAAGCGGCCCAAGGCUACCCCAGCUUGAAGGAAGACGGGACAGAGUUCAGUGAAGAGGAUCACCGAGUGAUAAACCGGGAAGUGCGCCCUCUAGCUUGUCAAUUGGUUGAAGAGGCGGAUUUGUCCCACUAUCAAGCCCAAUAUGAUGAUCAAAACAAACGAGUGGCUGCGUCAAUUCCUGAAGUGGAGAACCUUAUACCUCCAAUCCAUAAGCAUACUUACGCCCCCUGA